GGGCUGAGCUCAGCGGUAGAGCACUUGCCUAGAACGUGCAAGACCCUGGGUUCAAUCCUCAGCACCACA
rnacentral:tRNA from 1 species